rnacentral:rRNA from 1 species
GUUUUAAAUUCUUAGUGGCGGACGGGUGAGUAACGCGUGAGCAAUCUGCCUUUCAGAGGGGGAUAACACUCUGAAAAGAGUGCUAAUACCGCAUAACGUGUUUUGUGGCAUCGACAGGAACACCAAAGGAGCAAUCCGCUGAAAGAUGAGCUCGCGUCUGAUUAGCUAGUUGGGUGAGGUUAAACGGGCCCCACCAAGGCGACGAUCAGUAGCCGGCCUGAGAGGGUGACCGGCCACAUUGGGACUGAGACACGGCCCAAACUCCUACGGGAGGCAGCAGUGAGGAAUAUUGCACAAUGGGGGAAACCCUGAUGCAGCAACGCCGCGUGAGUGAAGAAGUAUUUCGGUAUGUAAAGCUCUAUCAGCAGGGAAGAAAAUGACGGUACCUGACUAAGAAGCCCCGGCUAACUACGUG